UAUAAAAGGGGUCGCGUUGAGCACAUCAACUCACAGUUAUUCAAAGACCAUUGCCCACUCCACGCUGCUUAAAAUCCAAGUGCAGUCAAAAAUUUGAUUUUCCAGAAACUUACUCCUCAAUUUUUUACAAGAACCCAAUCCCAACCAUGAACUCCAUGAAGUUUGCCGCUGUCCUGGUCCUCGUCGUCCUUGCCGUGGGUGUGUCUGUGGAUGGGCGGAAGUGGGAGGACGGCGCCUGGGUGUACGACGACAACGCCGAGUGCAGCAACUCCAAGGACCUCGGAACCACGAACUGCUACCCCGCCUGGAAGGACACCGCCGCAGCCUGCACCGAGACCUACCACGCCCAGUCCCAGUUCCAAGGCUACAUCAAAAAAGACGGAUGCACCUUCAGCAAACGCUUCUGCUGCAGCACGGGAUCUUUCUAAAUUAAUUGAGUGCCUUAUUUUCGUCAUAUUUAACAAAUUUUGACCCAAAGUAACAAUACUUUGUUGUAACUUUAAACUGUUCGUGUUCGUUAAUUUAUCUUAUUUCGAAGAACCAAUGUUGCCUGAUUUGACAACAAAAAUUUGUAAUGAAUAUUUUUUUACAAUUUUUCAAUUUUAUUCAUUCCCACAAUGAAGUUACUAUUCUCGUUUAUUAUGCUACCGAUGUAUGUACGUAAUGUAAUGUAUUGUACAAAAAUAUGCCGUUUCAUGGGAAAUAAUAAAAUGCGGGUAAUAUGAAAUAAGCACAUA